rnacentral:rRNA from 1 species
AGUGAACGCUGGCGGUAGGCCUAACACAUGCAAGUCGAACGGCAGCACAGUAAGAGCUUGCUCUUACGGGUGGCGAGUGGCGGACGGGUGAGGAAUACAUCGGAAUCUACUUUUUCGUGGGGGAUAACGUAGGGAAACUUACGCUAAUACCGCAUACGACCUACGGGUGAAAGCAGGGGAUCUUCGGACCUUGCGCGAUUGUAUGAGCCGAUGUCGGAUUAGCUAGUUGGCGGGGUAAAGGCCCACCAAGGCGACGAUCCGUAGCUGGUCUGAGAGGAUGAUCAGCCACACUGGAACUGAGACACGGUCCAGACUCCUACGGGAGGCAGCAGUGGGGAAUAUUGGACAAUGGGCGCAAGCCUGAUCCAGCCAUACCGCGUGGGUGAAGAAGGUCUUCGGGUUGUAAAGCCCUUUUGUUGGGGAAGAAAAGCAGCAGGUGAAUAUCUCGCUGUUCUGACGGUACCCAAAGAAUAAGCACCGGCUAACUUCGUG